rnacentral:rRNA from 1 species
ACCGCCCGUCACACCAUGGGAGUUGUUGCACCAGAAGCAGGUAGCCUAACCGCAAGGGGGGCGCUUGCCACGGUGUGGCCGAUGACUGGGUG